UUUGUUUAAGGCCUCGUUCUUCUGCCCGUUUUAGAAGGACUUUUCAUUGAAAAAGUCCUUUUCCCUUAAAAGGAAUGAAGAACAGCCUCCUUCUCUCCAGAUUAUUUCACCAUCAGAAAAGCACUUCUCUCCAGAUGAGAAGCUAAAAAUUUCUCCUCUUUUGGCUGAAAAUUGACCAAAUUAACUUGUCGUCUUCUCCCACAAACUUUCUCCUUUGCACUUUCACGCCCAGUCUCUCCUCCUUCAUUCCUUCAUUUCUGUUAGAAAAUUUCCCUGAGAUUGUCGAUUUUCCAGUAAUCCCCCACUCUCCUCCUUCAUUCCUUCAUUUCUCUCUGUCGAUUAUCGCCGUGGUUUUCUGUGGGUUCGAACUCGUAUUGGAACCUGGACGAACGGAUAUUGCAGCUGACUUGCACUUUAUCGGAGCAGGAGUGACCAUAGAAGCAGUACCAUGUGGAAUAUUUUAUCACAGUAAAGAUAAACUGCAGCCAGAGUUUUAUCAAGUCUUUCCAAAGCAGAGAGGUUUUCACACUUGCAGUUUUUGACUGUAUUUAGGAUUGGAUUUCUUUUCAGAUGGCAGAUGUAUGGUCUUGUGGAGUGACUCUUUACGUUAUGUUGGUAUGUGCAUGUUUGUACGUGUGUUUUCUUGUUUUUAUUUUGUGCUUCUUUUUUCUUUUUUCUUAUCUUGUGCUGAAGCAUGAUCUUGUAAACUGUCUAUUCCUUUGGAGUUAUGUUUGGUCAUAAUCCAUAAAGAAACUUUCUUGCUAAAUGAGGAAAAAGUAUGAAGCAGGGUAGUUUUAUUUCGCUGCAUAUGAAGUGGAAUUGCCUUUCUAGGGGUGGCUGUUUGUAUACAUGUCAUAUGGGGGUUAAGGAUGCCAUAGUGAGGCGACACUACUAUGCUGGUGACUAAGAUGAGAGCCACUGACUGACAAUUUCUUAUUUCCUUUGGAUGCUCAACACAUAUGACAUGCUGCAAAAUUGUUUCUUGCCAAUGAUUUAUUUUAUGUUCUUAUGAACAAAGUUCGACUCUGAUCUUUGAUGUAGUUUUAUGUCAUUAUCAUGAAAUUUAGGCAGAACCUAAGAACUAUUUCUUUGUUUAUGAGGCUACUUUGUUAGUGGCUUAUUGGCAAUGAUCUUUUCUGGAUGUGUAUUAUUCAACCAUCUAUUUAUACACUUUCUGUACUUUAUUUACAAAAAUAGCAGUAUGUUACUCCUCGGUAGACACUUUAGUUC